rnacentral:misc_RNA from 1 species
UGAGCGGUGUUGUAGUUCCAAU